AAGUAUAUAUAAGUAUAUCAUGAGUUGAUUUGUCACGGUUACGCAUGCGUUGAUUUUGAAAUACAAAAAAGCAGCAUUUUAUCACGUACAGCAAAGUUCUCUCGUUCGCCGGUGGGCAGAGUGAGAUAUUCCUGGGGCUCAGAACUCUCCAUUCCGUGGCAGUAAAUUGACAUAUACCUCCCUCCGACGAGCAACGUGUACUCGCCGUCAAUGUUAGUCUUUAAUCUACUCUGCACCUCGAGACACGAGGUCGGCCCGGUGCAUGGCCGCGGAUUGCAUUUGCGCUUGCGUUGCGGUCGCAGGUUAAUUGGACAGUGACGCCGCCUGACCUUUCUGCCAUGGCGAUCGAGACAGAAGAGCCGCCGGGACUGCCUGCCCUUACGGCCGCACGGAUGGGAGCACUACAAUUAUGACAGAUAUUUUGCCGGCCAUCCAGUAGAAGGGUUCGUUGCAGCCUCCCUUGCGACAGACCUGCGCUAUCGGGGGUUUGUCUCUCAGAGGGCAGCCACUUGACAGGGGCGUCGGAUCCUCCCAGCCGAAGCUAUUGAUGCGGUGGCAGGUGACCUCGCGACGUCGCACCCCAUUGCCGCAGCUCACCGAACACUGAUUAUGAAAAAUAUUUUUAUUUUUAUUUUAUGGCGCAAUUCCGUGCAAUUAUUGAAAGAUUUUUAAUGCUCACCUCACUCCAACUGCCUGCACGCCACUUGUACUCUAUAACUGCUUGAGAACUGUAGCUGUUUUUGCUAGGGCGACAAGGAGGUCUCUGGCACUUCUUGGCGUGUCUAGGUCUGGAGACUUCUGAACAGUCACUAUCGUUUAGGACUUCGCCGCGUUUAUCUUGGCACGAAACUUGUCGAUGCUGGUAUCCAUCGCCGCAUUUGACGUCGCACUAAAUAAAUAAGUUUAUUGAUAUUCAAUAAAUAAGGAGCCAUUAAGCUACA